UACGGAGGAUGCGAGCGUUAUCCGGAUUUACUGGGUGUAAAGGGAGCGUAGACGGCAUGGCAAGUCAGAUGUGAAAGCCCGGGGCUCAACCCCGGGACUGCAUUUGAAACUGUCAGGCUGGAGUGCAGGAGAGGUAAGUGGAAUUCCUAGUGUAGCGGUGAAAUGCGUAGAUAUUAGGAGGAACACCAGUGGCGAAGGCGGCUUACUGGACUGUAACUGACGUUGAGGCUCGAAAGCGUGGGGAGCAAACAGG
rnacentral:rRNA from 1 species